AUAAAAGACUUGAUAUAUGAAACUUAGGUCUAAAAACAAUAUAUAUAUAUAUAGACCCUAUAGACCCUAAAAACGUCCAGGGACUAUAAUGCAAAUAGGAAAAUCUUCUGGGGCAAACUUGAGCUUCUGGAAACUCAAAAGCGUCUAGGGUUUUUGCUGGGCCGAAACUGGUGUCGAUCGACACCAAGAGUGUGUCAGUCGACACUCCUCGCUGAUUCCUGAACCAAAAUCGCCCGUAGCUUCCUUUUCCUUAGCUUUUGCUCCAAAAUGUCUCCUUAUCUCCAUUGUUAUCUCACUGCAUAGAAUACCUAAAAAGACACUAAAAAGACUCGAGAAAUAACAUAAAGACUCAAAAUCCUAUACCUAAAACAUAGAUAAAAUCGGUGAACCCGUGGAAGAGGUUUUGAAAACAAAGGAACUCCCAACAUUCUCUAGCCUAUUGCCAUGAUUAUUCAAACUAAGUCCAUAUGCCUAACAAGUGUAAUCAAAUCCUAACCAACAUGUACUUCUCUACAAGCUUACACAACAUUCUAGAUUCCAUACCUAAGUUCCACAACUAUAUCCACCAGGCUUUCAUCGCUGGGUCUCAUCAAACAAGCCAACAUUCAAGAUCCUUGUAGACUCAUUCCUGUACAAUACCAUGAUAAAUUGACCAUUCUUUAUAUUUUU
rnacentral:sRNA from 1 species